GUUUGGAAUCUCAGCAAAGAACUACCGUGAUUUUUUCACCAUAAUUUUAACAAAUCCAUCCACCUUGAUACCAAUCAUACACCUAAUUUUUGCAAAAUCACCGCGAUUCUAACAAACAUGCACUAAAAUUUUCCAAAAACAAAAAUGAGCAAUUUUCUCCAUAAUAAUAAUAACAACAUAUUAGAAUGUAAAAUCUACUAGAUCUGAAAUUCUAA
rnacentral:lncRNA from 1 species